AUGAAGAGUUGGGGGGGAAGGAGAACGGAGAGGGAGGGCGGGGGAGCAUCGCUCCGCGGGUUCGGGCCAAUCGCCGCGCGCUCCGAGUCGUCGCCCCACCCCCACCCCAUCCCCCGUCUCCCGGCUCCGCCUCCGCCGGUAAUAAUUAGUCUGCGGGAGGGGGGCGCCGCGUCAGCGCCGGGCGUCGGCCAAUCCCAGAGCUCUUCCCGGCGGUCGCGUCACGGGCCGAACAACCAAACAGAAAAGUUUAAUAAACAGCGGACGGAGGGGCCGGCGGUGGAGGCGGCAGCGGCGGGGCCGGAGCCGGAGCGAGUGGGGGGUUCGGCGGCCUCACCUGUCCCCAUUCACCCGCGGCGGGGGCGGCGGUGGUGGCGGGCGCGUCAGGCGGAGGGAGCCGCCGCCAGUGCUGUAAAUCGAAUACCUGUUUAUAUACAAUGUAACUUAGAUUGUAAAGAAACUUUUGGAAUGUUAUGAGUGGACCUGUGCAUUUGGUCACACACAGGAAUGAAACUGAAGUCUGCUGCAAUAAAACACUGAAGGCUUUAAAAUGUUUUCUUGCA
rnacentral:lncRNA from 1 species